GCCAGACUCCUACGGGAGGCAGCAGUGGGGGAUAUUGCACAAUGGGGGGAACCCUGAUGCAGCGACGCCGCGUGGGUGAAGGAGCGUUUCGGCGCGUAAAGCCCUAUCGGCAGGGAAGAAGGAGGACGGUACCUGACUAAGAAGCCCCGGCUAACUACGUGCCAGCAGCCGCGGUAAUACGAAGGGGGCAAGCGUUGUUCGGAAUUACUGGGCGUAAAGGGAGUGUAGGCGGUUUAGUAAGAUAGUGGUGAAAUCCCAGGGCUUAACUUUGGAAUUGCCAUUAUAACUAUUAGACUAGAAUUACAGAGAGGAUAGUGGAAUACCCAGUGUAGAGGUGAAAUUCGUAGAUAUUGGGUAGAACACCAGUGGCGAAGGCGACUAUCUGGCUGUACAUUGACGCUGAGGCUCGAAAGCAUGGGGAUCAAACAGGAUUAGAUACCCGCGUA
rnacentral:rRNA from 1 species